rnacentral:rasiRNA from 1 species
GUAUCCGAAUGCGUUAACUUCUUCCA